rnacentral:lncRNA from 1 species
GUCCCAGUCAGGACACAGCAUGGCCAUGAGGGCCCCUGCUCAGCUCCUGGGGCUCCUGCUGCUCUGCCUCCCAGGUAAGGAGGGGCAGCACUGGAUAUUAUUCAGCCCUGUGUGGUCAGUGCUGAUGGGAUCUUGAGGGAAAUCCUCUUAUAACACUAUUAAUUGUGCAUACAUUUCUUUUCAUGUGUCUAACUUCAGGUGCCAGAUGUGACAUCACAAUGACCCAGUCUCCAUCCUACCUGUCUAAAUCUCCAGGAGAAAGAGUCACCAUGACAUGCAGGGCAAGUCAGGGCAUCAGCAGUUACUUAAACUGGUACCAGCAAAAACCAGGUCAAUCUCCUAAGCGUCUCAUCUAUGGUGCAUCCAAUCUGCAAUCUGGUGUUCCCUCGAGAUUCAGUGGGAGUGGAUCUGGGACAGAUUUCACUCUCACCAUCAGCAGCCUGGAGCCUGAAGAUUUUGCCACUUAUUACUGUUUACAGUAUGAUAAGCUCCCUCCCACAGUGAUACAGGCCAUGACAAAAAC